AGCGUAUAUUAAUGUUGUUGCAGUUAAAAAGCUCGUAGUUGGAUUUCUGUUUUCAAUUACCGGUCCGCUCAUGUAUUUGAGUGUGUACUUGUGUUAUUGAAUUCAUUUUUGUGAGGAUCCUUAUCUGGCAUUAAGUUGCCGGGUUUGUGUACUUGCAUCUUUUACUGUGAAAAAAUUAGAGUGUUUAAAGCAGGCGUUCGCUUAUUUGAAUACAUUAGCAUGGAAUAAUAAGAUAUGACUUGUGUGGUCUAUUUUGUUGGUUUGCACACGCGAGUAAUGAUUAAGAGGGACAGUUGGGGGUAUUCAUAUUUCAGCGUCAGAGGUGAAAUUCUUGGAUCGCUGAAAGAUGAGCUUAGGCGAAAGCAUUUACCAUGGAUGUUUUCAUUAAUCAAGAACGAAAGUUAGGGGAUCGAAGAUGAUUAGAUACCAUCGUAGUCUUAACCAUAAACUAUGCCGACUCGGGAUUGGCAGUCGUUAUUUAUGACCUUGUCAGCACCGUAUGAGAAAUCAAAGUCUUUGGGUUCCGGGGGGAGUAUGGUCGCAAGGCUGAAACUUAAAGGAAUUGACGGAAGGGCACCACCANGAGUGGAGCCUGCGGCUUAAUUUGACUCAACACGGGGAAACUUACCAGGUCCAGACAUAGUAAGGAUUGACAGAUUGAGAGCUCUUUCUUGAUUCUAUGGGUGGUGGUGCAUGGCCGUUCUUAGUUGGUGGAGUGAUUUGGCUGGUUAAUUCCG
rnacentral:rRNA from 1 species